GUAGUCCACGCCGUAAACGAUGGGUACUAGGUGUGGGAGUUGUCAUGACUUCCGUGCCGUCGUUAACACAGUAAGUACCCCGCCUGGGGAGUACGAUCGCAAGAUUAAAACUCAAAGGAAUUGACGGGGGCCCGCACAAGCAGCGGAGCAUGUGGUUUAAUUCGAAGCAACGCGAAGAACCUUACCUAGACUUGACAUCUCCUGAAUUACCCGUAAUGGGGGAAGCUCUUCGGAGCAGGAAGACAGGUGGUGCAUGGUUGUCGUCAGCUCGUGUCGUGAGAUGUUGGGUUAAGUCCCGCAACGAGCGCAACCCUUAUCAUUAGUUGCUACCAUUAAGUUGAGCACUCUAGUGAGACUGCCCGGGUUAACCGGGA
rnacentral:rRNA from 1 species